rnacentral:rRNA from 1 species
UACGGGGGGGAGCAAGCGUUGUUCGGAUUUACUGGGCGUAAAGGGCGCGUAGGCGGCGUGACAAGUCACUUGUGAAAUCUCCGGGCUUAACUCGGAACGGUCAAGUGAUACUGUCGUGCUAGAGUACAGAAGGGGCAACUGGAAUUCUCGGUGUAGCGGUGAAAUGCGCAGAUAUCAGGAAGAACACCCGUGGCGAAGGCGGCUCUCUGGGACGGUACUGACGCUGAGACGCGAAAGCGUGGGGAGCGAACAGG